rnacentral:rRNA from 1 species
AGAACGAACGCUGGCGGCAGGCUUAACACAUGCAAGUCGAGCGCCCCGCAAGGGGAGCGGCAGACGGGUGAGUAACGCGUGGGAACAUACCCUCCGGUUCGGAAUAGCUCAGGGAAACUUGGAUUAAUACCGGAUACGGCCUAGCGGCGAAAGAUUCAUCGCCGGAGGAUUGGCCCGCGUCUGAUUAGCUAGUUGGUGGGGUAAUGGCCCACCAAGGCGACGAUCAGUAGCUGGUCUGAGAGGAUGAUCAGCCACAUUGGGACUGAGACACGGCCCAAACUCCUACGGGAGGCAGCAGUGGGGAAUAUUGGACAAUGGGCGCAAGCCUGAUCCAGCCAUGCCGCGUGAGUGAUGACGGCCUUAGGGUUGUAAAGCUCUUUCGCCCGCGACGAUGAUGACGGUAGCGGGAGAAGAAGCCCGGCUAACUUCGCGCCAGCAGCCGC